CCUACGGGUGGCAGCAGUGGGGAAUAUUGCACAAUGGGGGCUACCCUGAUGCAGCGACGCAGCGUGAGUGAAGAAGUACUUCGUUAUGUAAAGCUCUAUCAGUAGGGAAGUAAAUGACGGUACCUGUGUAAGUUGCCCCGGCUAACUACGUGCCAGCAGCCGCGGUAAUACGUAGGGGGCCAGCGUUAUCCGGAUGUACUGGGUGUAAAGGGAGCGUAGACGGCUGUGCAAGUCUGGAGUGAAAGGCGGGGGCUCAACCCCCGGACUGCACUGGAAACUGUACGGCUGGAGUGCAGGAGAGGUAAGUGGAAUUCGUGGUGUAGCGGUGAAAUGCGUAGAUAUUAGGAGGAACACCAGUGGCGAAGGCGGCUUACUGGACUGUAACUGACGUUGAGGCUCGAAAGCGUGGGGAGCAAACAGGAUUAGAUACCCGUGUAGUC
rnacentral:rRNA from 1 species